GGAAAGAUGGUCGAGCGGUUCAAGGCGUAGCAUUGGAACUGUUAUGUAGGCUUCUUCUUACUGAGGGUUCGAAUCCCUCUCUUUCCA
rfam:Picea glauca, whole genome shotgun sequence.